rnacentral:rRNA from 1 species
GACGAACGCUGGCGGCGUGCCUAAUACAUGCAAGUCGAGCGGAACUGGGGGAGCUUGCUCCUUCCAGUUUAGCGGCGGACGGGUGAGUAACACGUGGGCAACCUGCCCUGCAGAUCGGGAUAACUCCGGGAAACCGGUGCUAAUACCGAAUAGUUUGGCGCCUCUCCUGAGGCGCUACGGAAAGACGGUUUCGGCUGUCACUGCAGGAUGGGCCCGCGGCGCAUUAGCUAGUUGGUGGGGUAACGGCCCACCAAGGCGACGAUGCGUAGCCGACCUGGGAGGGGGACCGGCCAGACUGGGACUGAGACACGGCCCAGGCUCCUACGGGAGGCAGCAGUAGGGAAUCUUCCGCAAUGGACGAAAGUCUGACGGAGCAACGCCGCGUGAGUGACGAAGGUUUUCGGAUCGUAAAACUCUGUUGUGAGGGAAGAACACGUACCAACUAACUAUUGGUACCUUGACGGUACCUCGCCAGAAAGCCACGGCUAACUACGUGCCAGCCGCCGCCGUAA